UACGUAGGGUGCGAGCGUUGUCCGGAAUUAUUGGGCGUAAAGGGCUCGUAGGCGGUCCAUCACGUCGGGAGUGAAAAGCUGGGGCUUAACCCCAGUCCUGCUUCCGAUACGGGUGGACUAGAGGUAGGCAGGGGAGAACGGAAUUCCUGGUGUAGCGGUGAAAUGCGCAGAUAUCAGGAGGAACACCGGUGGCGAAGGCGGUUCUCUGGACCAUAACUGACACUGAGAGACGAAAGCCAGGGGAGCAAACGGG
rnacentral:rRNA from 1 species